rnacentral:rRNA from 1 species
GAUGAACGCUGGCGGCGUGCCUAAUACAUGCAAGUCGAGCGAAUGGAUUAAGAGCUUGCUCUUAUGAAGUUAGCGGCGGACGGGUGAGUAACACGUGGGUAACCUGCCCAUAAGACUGGGAUAACUCCGGGAAACCGGGGCUAAUACCGGAUAACAUUUUGAACCGCAUGGUUCGAAAUUGAAAGGCGGCUUCGGCUGUCACUUAUGGAUGGACCCGCGCCGCAUUAGCUAGUUGGUGAGGUAACGGCUCACCAAGGCAACGAUGCGUAGCCGACCUGAGCGGGUGAUCGGCCACACUGGGACUGAGACACGGCCCAGACUACUACGGGAGGCAGCAGUAGGGAAUCUUCCGCAAUGGACGAAAGUCUGACGGAGCAACGCCGCGUGAGUGAUGAAGGCUUUCGGGUCGUAAAACUCUGUUGUUAGGGAAGAACAAGUGCUAGUUGAAUAAGCUGGCACCUUGACGGUACCUAACCAGAAAGCCACGGCUAACUACGUGCCAGCCGCCGCCGUAA